AGGCAUUUUACUAACCAAUACUCAUUAAGCAUAGCGUGGAUUCAUAUGACAUCAAGGAGCUAUUUUAUUUGGUAAAACGAAAAAGCACAAGAAUGAACGAACGCAAGAACUGAAACAGUGGAGACACCUAGAAUGACUUGUCUAAGAUCUAAAUCAUUUUGUUGUCUUCCCAGCGUACUUAUUAUCCUGAUCAUUGUCAUCAGCAUUGUUUGGGUCCUUUUAGCACAGAUUUCUCAAAAUGGGUAACUCCAUAACAGUUGGAAGCUUACGAAUUCAUAUAAUUUGUAAGAGGUCAAUUUGGAAGUACCUAUCUAUUUUAAAAUUCCAAUAACCUGGGAAUUUCAUCCCAUGUCUAGAGUCUUUUAUGUAAAAUAUUUCCACAAUUAGGAGAAAUAUGUGCAUGGGGAUUUUCUAUGUAGCGGUGUUUUGAUAGAAUAGAAAAUUGGGAUAAACCAAAUUUCCAUCACGAAGGAAAUAGUAAUAUGCUGAAUAAUAAUACAGCGAAUAUUAUGCAGGCUUUAAACAUCAAAAAAGAGUUCAACUUCUGACUUCCGAUGAUGGUGUUGAAGCAGGUCACUGCUGGUUUACAUUUGAUUUUCAUGUGGGAACUCUGGAAGUCCGCCUUAGUGAUUUUACAUGUGGCUAAAUUGAGCUAAUGACAAGCUGUUCGAAGUAUGGCAAAAUGGAACUUUAAAACAGUAUCUUGUCAACAACCAAGAGGACCUGUUUCACAUAAAGCCCACGCAUUCAUCUGCCUGUCCAUCAUUCUGUCUGUCCACACGGGCAUCAUUCGUUAGUGGAACUGAGUGCCCGCUGUCGAGCUGACAAGCCCAUAACCUCCCUGUUCCUAGUCACACAUUAAUUCUUCAACAAGUCCCUUUUGAUAGAUUGUGAUUAAGCUUAGCUACUAUUUCCAAUUGCUUCCCCAAACGUACUUCUCACUGUUCUCCCAUCACACCCUUCAGCCCAUCCAUGCGGGGUUCCUUUGCUUUUCCCACCUUACACCAAACUCCCUAUUUUUACUCCCACUUUUACCUCCUCUCCAAGACAAAACAAACAAAACUAGCAUUUUAAAACUUAGUUGUAAUCUUUCUUCCUUCAUGAAAAUUUCUCCAACAGCCACUCCCACGGUCCUGUGUGUUCCGGAUAUUUUAAAAUAAUGGCUAUAAGGCUGAGCACUUCAGGAUAUGCUGUUUUGCUGUGUGCAGAUGGAGGCAGUGGCUGGAGUGAAUGAACGGCAACACUUGCUGGCAACCGGCAGAAGCUGAGAGACAGGGAACAGGCUCUCCUCCAGAGCCUCCAGGAGCCAGGCCUUUGGACACCUUGAAUGUGGGCUUCUGGGAGACCAUGCGUUUCUGUUAUAAGCAGCCCAGUCUCUGGCAGUUUUUACGGCUGCCCCGGAACACUCAUCUAUACCUGUCUGACAAGGUCAAGCUCCAAGGAAGGGAUUCUUUACAUAUCUACAUUGUUUGCAGAUUUUACAAUAAUCAUUUAUUCUUGCAUGGCUGAUCAUUGUUAACCAAUACAAAUAAAAUAAUAAAGAAAUGACCCACAUUUUA
rnacentral:lncRNA from 10 species